rnacentral:tRNA from 1 species
CGCUCUUAGUUCAGUUCGGUAGAACAUGGGUCUCCAAAACCCAAUGUCGUAGGUUCAAAUCCUACAGGGCGUG